rnacentral:misc_RNA from 1 species
GUGAAGAACGCAGCGAAAUGCGAUAAGUAAUGUGAAUUGCAGAAUUCAGUGAAUCAUCGAAUCUUUGAACGCACAUUGCGCCCGCCAGUAUUCUGGCGGGCAUGCCUGUUCGAGCGUCAUUUCAACCAUCAAGCCCCCGGCUUGUGUUGGGGACCUGCGGCUGCCGCAGGCCCUGAAAACCAGUGGCGGGCUCGCUGUCACACCGAGCGUAGUAGAUUUUCAUCUCGCUCAGGGCGUGCUGCGGGUUCCGGCCGUAAAAAGCCUUAUUUACCCAAGGUUGACCUCGGAUCAGGUAGGAAGACCCGCUGAACUUAAGCAUAUCAAUAAGCGGAGGA